AUUGUAGUUCUAGCUGCACGAAGUGAGUUGACUGACUGGUUGAUUGAAUGAUUGAUUGGUUGCAUGAUUGAGUGAUUGAAUUACAUUUCCUCCAGAGAUAUUAAGAGAAGAUGAAGAGAAGCAAAGAUCUUCAGAGCUUCUUCAGCUUCUACCAGCAGCAGCACAAAGGUCCACACAAGCCAGCAGCCUGGUGAUGAAGAUGAUGAGCCGUCCACUCCCCCAAUACAGGAUGUUGACCAGCAACACUUAGAGGAGGAAACUGGUUGUGAACCAACAUUGUCUGGAGCUCCACCUACUAAGCAGGCGACACUGAUGACAGAGAUCCUCCUAAUGUUGUACCUGCUGCUCCACCUGGACCUUACGGCUGCAGAGUCUGCUGAUAUAAACAUGCAUCAUGAAUUCAUGUUUUUCCUGAUAAACUGUGUAAAAUAAUGUGCACUACAUGUGGCAUCCCUGCUACUUCACACUUUGAGCUUGUUAAAUGUUUGAAGCUAAAUAUUUCUAGGAUAAAAGACAUCAUCUGGCAGAUUAGCUCAGAUUGCUUCAAAACUCUUCCAUGAUGAAGAGCAUUAGUGAAAACGAAGACUGGUCAUAGUUGGAAAGUGUUUUAGCUGUGAUCAAAUAGCUCCGUCUGUUAGAGGAUCUCCUGUAGUCUGUAGGGUCGGUUCUCUGAAGGCUCCUGAGG